GGAGUGGUAGCUCAGCUGGUUAGAGCGCCGCCCUGUCACGGCGGAGGUCGCGGGUUCGAUCCCCGUCCGCUCCG
rnacentral:tRNA from 1 species